CAGUUAGGAAGAACUUGAAUCAAACUGGAGCUAACGGUUCACCUAACAGCAGGACUAUUUUGUAUU